GGCCAUAUUGGGGGUCUAUACAUGCAGUCGAGCGACAGGAUAAGGAGCUUGCUCCUUUGAAGUUAGCGGCGGACGGGUGAGUAACACGUGGGUAACCUACCUAUAAGACUGGAAUAACUUCGGGAAACCGGAGCUAAUGCCGGAUAACAUAUAGAACCGCAUGGUUCUAUAGUGAAAGAUGGUUUUGCUAUCACUUAUAGAUGGACCCGCGCCGUAUUAGCUAGUUGGUAAGGUAAUGGCUUACCAAGGCGACGAUACGUAGCCGACCUGAGAGGGUGAUCGGCCACACUGGAACUGAGACACGGUCCAGACUCCUACGGGAGGCAGCAGUAGGGAAUCUUCCGCAAUGGGCGAAAGCCUGACGGAGCAACGCCGCGUGAGUGAUGAAGGUUUUCGGAUCGUAAAACUCUGUUAUUAGGGAAGAACAAAUGCGUAAGUAACUGUGCGCAUCUUGACGGUACCUAAUCAGAAAGCCACGGCUAACUACGUGCCAGCAGCCGCGGUAAUACGUAGGUGGCAAGCGUUAUCCGGAAUUAUUGGGCGUAAAGCGCGCGUAGGCGGUUUCUUAAGUCUGAUGUGAAAGCCCACGGCUCAACCGUGGAGGGUCAUUGGAAACUGGGAAACUUGAGUGCAGAAGAGGAAAGUGGAAUUCCAUGUGUAGCGGUGAAAUGCGCAGAGAUAUGGAGGAACACCAGUGGCGAAGGCGACUUUCUGGUCUGUAACUGACGCUGAUGUGCGAAAGCGUGGGGAUCAAACAGGAUUAGAUACCCUGGUAGUCCACGCCGUAAACGAUGAGUGCUAAGUGUUAGGGGGUUUCCGCCCCUUAGUGCUGCAGCUAACGCAUUAAGCACUCCGCCUGGGGAGUACGGACCGCAAGGUUGAAACUCAAAGGAAUUGACGGGGACCCGCACAAGCGGUGGAGCAUGUGGUUUAAUUCGAAGCAACGCGAAGAACCUUACCAAAUCUUGACAUCCUUUGAAAACUCUAGAGAUAGAGCCUUCCCCUUCGGGGGACAAAGUGACAGGUGGUGCAUGGGUUGUCGUCAGCUCGUUGUCGUGAGAUGUUGGGGUUUAAGUCCCGCAACGAGCGCAACCCUUAAAGCUUAGUUUGCCCAUUCAUUUAGGUUGGGCACUCUAGGUUGACCUGCCGAUGACAACCCGGAGGACGGUGGGGAAUGACGUCCAAUUCAUCAUGCCCCCAUUAAUGGAGUUUUGGGGCCUAACCCACCCACCGGGUGGUCGUA
rnacentral:rRNA from 1 species